GAUGAACGCUGGCGGCGUGCCUAAUACAUGCAAGUCGAGCGAACGGACGAGAAGCUUGCUUCUCUGAUGUUAGCGGCGGACGGGUGAGUAACACGUGGAUAACCUACCUAUAAGACUGGGAUAACUUCGGGAAACCGGAGCUAAUACCGGAUGAUAUUUUGAACCGCAUGGUUCAAAAGUGAAAGACGGUCUUGCUGUCACUUAUAGAUGGAUCCUCGCUGCAUUAGCUAGUUGGUAAGGUAACGGCUUACCAAGGCAACGAUGCAUAGCCGACCUGAGAGGGUGAUCGGCCACACUGGAACUGAGACACGGUCCAGACUCCUACGGGAGGCAGCAGUAGGGAAUCUUCCGCAAUGGGCGAAAGCCUGACGGAGCAACGCCGCGUGAGUGAUGAAGGUCUUCGGAUCGUAAAACUCUGUUAUUAGGGAAGAACAUAUGUGUAAGUAACUGUGCACAUCUUGACGGUACCUAAUCAGAAAGCCACGGCUAACUACGUG
rnacentral:rRNA from 1 species